CAAGUCGAACGAACCUUCGGGUUAGUGGCGGACGGGUGAGUAACGCGUGAGAAUCUGCCCUCAGGAGGGGGAUAACGGCUGGAAACGGCCGCUAAUACCCCAUAUGCCGAGAGGUGAAACGAAUUUCGCCUGAGGAUGAGCUCGCGUCUGAUUAGCUAGUUGGUGGGGUAAAGGCCUACCAAGGCAUCGAUCAGUAGCUGGUCUGAGAGGAUGAUCAGCCACACUGGGACUGAGACACGGCCCAGACUCCUACGGGAGGCAGCAGUGGGGAAUUUUCCGCAAUGGGCGCAAGCCUGACGGAGCAACGCCGCGUGAGGGAUGAAGGCCUCUGGGCUGUAAACCUCUUUUAUCAAGGAAGAAGAUCUGACGGUACUUGAUGAAUAAGCCACGGCUAAUUCCGUGCCAGCAGCCGCGGUAAUACGGGAGUGGCAAGCGUUAUCCGGAAUUAUUGGGCGUAAAGCGUCCGCAGGCGGUCUUGUAAGUCUGUCGUUAAAGCGUGGAGCUUAACUCCAUUUCGGCGGUGGAAACUGCAGGACUUGAGUGUGGUAGGGGCAGAGGGAAUUCCCGGUGUAGCGGUGAAAUGCGUAGAUAUCGGGAAGAACACCAGUGGCGAAAGCGCCCUGCUGGGCCAUAACUGACGCUCAUGGACGAAAGCCAGGGGAGCGAAAGGGAUUAGAUACCCCUGUAGUCCUGGCCGUAAACGAUGAACACUAGAUGUCGGGGGAAUCGACCCCCUCGGUGUCGUAGCCAACGCGUUAAGUGUUCCGCCUGGGGAGUACGCACGCAAGUGUGAAACUCAAAGGAAUUGACGG
rnacentral:rRNA from 1 species